CUUGGGCGGGGUCCGUGGUGUUUUCUGCUUGUUACCUAUGUGACUGGGAUCUAGUAACGGGAAUAGUGUUACCUAAAGGCGUGACAGAGGCAUGAAACCUGAAGCUAACCCAACACAAAACCGUGUUUGAGCCAAUCAGAGGAUUUGUGCCAAUAUGAUGACAGGCAGCAUAAUGAUCGAGGAGAGAGCAGAGUGAUGCUGGCUAUGAAAUGUUCUCGGAUACCUGCAGCAGUAUUCCUGUUAUCAGAGAACAAUAGAAGAUGGAUUGGAGUCAGUGGAAGAAGAGGAGGAUCUGAGGAACAGGAUUACACAGCCUCUAUACACAAUGGAGAGGAUUAACCCCUUCCACAGAAGCUCCUGCACAGAGGCAAAGUUUCACACUGGAUUAUGGCACGGAUAAAGAACAAAUUUGUAAAGUACACCAAGAACCAGUGUUGCCAACCACCCGUAGAUUUACAGGCAGCCCAUAAAAACAGGCACUUUUUCUUCUGCCUGUAAAAGUCUGUAGGAGAGGAAAUGUGCCAGUAAAAAUUGCUGCGAUCGUCGCGGGUGUGAACUGUGCAGACGCAGCUCCGAAAUUCCCCGAUCCGAUCCUGAGACUGUGCCGCCCGGCCCGCCUCCGCCUGCUGAUGAUGUCAUGUGCAAGCCGCAUUUCCCGCUACACAGCGCCCGCCAGAAAAUUUAAAAUGCCAGGACAUGAGGACAGGAGCCAAGCAGAGCAGGCUAAUGGUGGAGGAGCCUGUGCAGUGCGCUGCAGUAUGUGGACAGCACAGUGGAGCUGGAGGACAUGCGGCACCAAUACACCAUCACCGUGAGAGAGAUGGAUGGACAGAGCUGACCUGCCCCGGACGGACAAGUGCCCUGGCUGCAGUCCCCUGAGUCGUGAGUGGAGUUCAUAUACACACACACACACACACUAACUUGAACUUGGAGUCCUACCACCAAAGCCCUGGCCUGACUGCAACAUCUAUCCAUCCUUCACCUGGGAUGGAUGCUCUUUAUGUGAUGUCUACAGGCAGGCACAGGCAGCAGUUAUCAGACAAGAAUGGUAGUGGUGUAAUUGUACAGUAUUACAGAUGUUCACAAUCUCUGUCUUGCUAUCCCCUGGCUCUGGUGACCAGAGUCCCCCCUUGGAUCAUGAUAACGUCAGAGUUCACUUUCACUGUAAGGGGGAAUCCUGCACACUCUGCUAUAUGUUGGAUCUCUGUGCUGGCUGGGUUAUAUUAAUCUGACCUUCAUGUAACUUGAGAAAUAUGUUUUUUGACUUUUGUGAAACUUAAACAUAUUGCUAAUAGCACUAGCUACAUGUUAAAAGAUAAAUAUUAACAUUUGUAUGGUUUAGCACUGAAAACUUAAAUUUUAGGUACUUUUUUGCAGUGUCAGUAAAAAGUGUGGCUCUGACAGUAAAUUUCAUGACUAUUUGCCAGUAAAAAAUUGGUGCCGUUUGUACAUUUUGGCUUUCUGCCAGUAAAUUUCACUUCGGGGGGUUGGCAAACACUGCCAAGAACACACAUGCCUUUUGUGCAUAGACAAAAUUUGCUUAUCUACAAACAACAUCUUGUUCAUGAACAUAUUGGUCUAAUAAUCGGCACAUUCAAAUCAAGUUCUCCCAGUGUCCAAAUUAUAUAUAACUACUGUGCAUCAUUGUUUCCAUUCUAGCCUUUAGUAACUCUAUAUUCUGCCGGAGUAGUUCCAUGCUGAAUCUGUUCCUUGACUUCCAGGCAGGGCCAUCUUUUUUUUUUUUAAAGGUAAAAGGC